AAGAAUAUGAUGUUUAUGAUUACAGACGAGUGAGUCAUAUCUCAUGAUGAGCCAUUUCGCCUUCCUUUAUGUAGUGUAAAUUUAACCAUUGACAUAUCACUCGGAGAAACAUUUUUAGCUGGGAGAAGGAAGAGAAGAAGGGUGCUUGAAUGGUAAAAAAAGAAGUCGUCAAUGCAACCCGUUGCAACUCACAGGUGUUCUACUGAUGCAGAGGUACCUUUCCUUGCUUGGGAGUUAUAUGUGGUUCUGUUUGCUAAAUCUGUUUUAGAUUUAGACUGAUCUUGCAUGCUUAGCUUUUUAGUGUAUAACUAGUUUGUAGGUCCUACUAUUUGAUCACCGGAUGCAACGGAUGGGUGCCGGAUGGCGUCUUUGGCGUUUCGUUGAGGUACGACCAAACUACACUGCAGUUCGGUCUAGCCAAAGUUAUGCAUGCUGUUUAUCUCUACUUUGCGUGUGAAUGUCCCUGAAACAUGGUUUUGUUUGACUCUAG
rnacentral:lncRNA from 1 species